rnacentral:snRNA from 2 species
UUGCUCACUCACUUUGACAGCACACAUGUUAAAACUGGAAGAAUACCAAGAAGAUCAGCAUGGCCCCUGCACAAGAAUGACACACAAAUUCAUGAAGUGUUGCGUGCUUUC